GUGUGUGUGUGUGUGUGUGUUACCUGCGCUGAUAGUCGUGUGAGGUCAUCGUGGAGAAGGCCCCUCAGGCUCGUAUCGACAAGAAGUAUUUGGUUCCUUUGCCAGUCGGUCAAUUCUACUUCCUCAUGCGCAAGAGAAUUCCCCUGAGACCCGAGGAUGCCCUCAUCUUCUUCGUCAACAAUGUGAUUCCUCCCACCAGCGCCACCAUGGGAUCGCUCUACCAGGGAAGGAACCAAGAUGAGACCAGACGCAGCCCUCCAGUGAGCCCAGGAGACCACCGAGGGACACCCACGCACCUCAUGGCAUGGGGGAGGACGGAUGGAGAUGGUGGGGAGGGAGACAGAGACGAGACCACUGAGCCGAAGGAACCAGUCAGGCCUUCAAGAUGCUGCCUGGAUGCUGGGGGAGACCAGACGAGACGAGUCCUGUUGGGGAGAAGAUGGAGGGAGAUUAAUUGAAGGGCAGAGAUGAGAGAGAGAUGGAACUAACUCUCUCUCCCUGUAUUUUUAUAAAGAGAAGACUAAUAAAGUUUGGAAAUAUA